CCUACGGGGCGCAGCAGUGGGGAAUAUUGCGCAAUGGGGGAAACCCUGACGCAGCAACGCCGCGUGCGGGAUGACGGCCUUCGGGUUGUAAACCGCUUUCAGCAGGGAAGAACAUCGACGGUACCUGCAGAAGAAGCCCCGGCUAACUACGUGCCAGCAGCCGCGGUAAUACGUAGGGGGCGAGCGUUAUCCGGAUUCAUUGGGCGUAAAGCGCGCGUAGGCGGGUGCCUAAGCGGGACCUCUAACCUCGGGGCUCAACCCCGAGCCGGGUCCCGAACUGGGCGUCUCGAGUGCGGUAGGGGAGG
rnacentral:rRNA from 1 species